rnacentral:rRNA from 1 species
AUGGCACUCGAUCUGCAAUCCAUGGACAGCGGCCUGGCUGCUCUUGCUGCUUCUUACCUCGGCGGGGAGGAAGCCGUCAAGAAGCCUGACAGCAGUCCAUCCGCAGGAGAGGGAAAGGUAUUGAUUUUCCGCAGGCGCCCAAUCACACAGGAUUCCCCGUCCUUGAAUCCCCCUGCUUAUGGCUACCCCGACGGCGGUGGCGACCAGCCAAGCUUCGUCUUGAUCGAGCCAUACGCCUUCUUUGCCGACCGUCGCAACGCCACCACCGCCGACUGCGGCUUGGAGGGUCUCCGUCUCCGGGGUAACAUCGAGGUCACCUUCUGCACCGCCCAACCACCGCAGGUCUCCUGCCUAUGCUUCCACGUCACCGCCUACGACCACAACGUGUUCGCCACCCGGCCUAGCAUAGUCGCCACAGAGACUGACGGUGGGCUCGUCCUCCUAUGCGUCGUAGUCGGUGAUUGCCCAUCCGAUGCCUUGUAUCGCCGCAAUCGACACUACUUCGUCUACGACGCCAGUGUUCCCGAGCUCAAGCACAUCAAGCAGCCCGGCAACGACCACCCAGUCAACGAGCAGUCAUUUGCCAUUGUGCGCAAACCUGAGGGCAGCUACAUCCUGGCCGCACAAGCUAAUGGGUUCAGAUAUGGCAAUCAUUCUCACCUCUGCCUCUAUGACCAUGAUACCAACUCCUGGAGCAAGCUGCCAGUGAAUGUCGAUUCAGUCCCCGACGCCAACGAGUUCAUCACAUACAAGGCAAUCACAAUCGGAGGUGAUGAAGGAACAGUGGCCUGGGUUGAUCUCUCGCAUAUGAUUAUCUUCUGCAACGUGCUGGACAAACACCCCAAGCCUCAUUUCUUAAGACUGCCUAGCAAUGCAACUCGAUCGCCCGCUGUUCGGGACGUUUCAGUCCUUAAUGGCUUCAUCAAGAUGGUCGAGCUGCAGCACCGUGCUAUUGGUUGGAAGGCCACAAUAUGGAGCAUCAAGACUGGCAUCUUAUCCAAAGCGCAUUGGAGUGUCGAUUGCCAGUUCGAUUCCUCUGCUAUACCUGAACCACCGCUGCCUAAGCUGAAGGUCCGUGAAGGUGUCACAGCUCAGCCUACCUUGUCGACUCUCCAUAUUGGCCUGCCCAAGCUGAGCCUGCAAGAUGAUUGCAUUCUUUACUUACUAGCUAAGAUUGACUACCGCGACAGGCAGCACACAUCAUGGGUGCUUGCUGUUGACAUGAAGAACAACACUGUCCAGAGAGUGGCUGAGUUUAGCCCCAAGAGGGCUAUUGGUUUAGCCAGGGGCUACGAUUCAAGUACGAUCUCCAAAUAUCUCAAAGUUGGUCCAGGGAAAGGCGUGCAAGAAGCUGAGCAGUGA